rnacentral:tRNA from 13 species
GGCCAGGUAGCUCAGUUGGUACGAGCGUCCGCCUGAAAAGCGGAAGGUCGCCGGUUCGAUCCCGGCCCUGGCCACCU